rnacentral:rRNA from 1 species
UACUCCCGCCGGCGACCGGCGCACGGGUGAGUAACACGUAUGAAACCUGCCCGUAGCAGGGGGAUAAGCGGAAGAAGUUCCGUCUAAUACCGCGUAACAACCCGAGGAGGCAUCUCCUCGGGUUUAAAGGAAGCGAUUCCGGCUACGGAUGGUCAUGCGUCGCAUUAGCUAGUUGGCGGGGUAACGGCCCACCAAGGCGACGAUGCGUAGGGGUUCUGAGAGGAAGGUCCCCCACACUGGUACUGAGACACGGACCAGACUCCUACGGGAGGCAGCAG